rnacentral:rRNA from 1 species
GACGAACGCUGGCGGCGUGCUUAACACAUGCCAGUCGAACGGAAAGGCCCUUCGGGGUCCUCGAGUGGCGAACGGGUGAGUAACACGUGGGUGAUCUGCCCUGCACUUUGGGAUAAGCCUGGGAAACUGGGUCUAAUACCGAAUAGGACCACGCGCUUCAUGGUGUGUGGUGGAAAGCUUUUGCGGUGUGGGAUGGGCCCGCGGCCUAUCAGCUUGUUGGUGGGGUAAUGGCCUACCAAGGCGACGACGGGUAGCCGGCCUGAGAGGGUGACCGGCCACACUGGGACUGAGAUACGGCCCAGACUCCUACGGGAGGCAGCAGUGGGGAAUAUUGCACAAUGGGCGCAAGCCUGAUGCAGCGACGCCGCGUGAGGGAUGACGGCCUUCGGGUUGUAAACCUCUUUCAAUAGGGACGAAGCGCAAGUGACGGUACCUAUAGAAGAAGCACCGGCCAACUACGU